AGUGAACGCUGGCGGUAGGCCUAACACAUGCAAGUCGAACGGCAGCACAGUAAGAGCUUGCUCUUACGGGUGGCGAGUGGCGGACGGGUGAGGAAUACAUCGGAAUCUACUUUUUCGUGGGGGAUAACGUAGGGAAACUUACGCUAAUACCGCAUACGACCUACGGGUGAAAGCAGGGGAUCUUCGGACCUUGCGCGAUUGAAUGAGCCGAUGUCGGAUUAGCUAGUUGGCGGGGUAAAGGCCCACCAAGGCGACGAUCCGUAGCUGGUCUGAGAGGAUGAUCAGCCACACUGGAACGGAGACACGGUCCAGACUCCUACGGGAGGCAGCAGUGGGGAAUAUUGGACAAUGGGCGCAAGCCUGAUCCAGCCAUACCGCGUGGGUGAAGAAGGCCUUCGGGUUGUAAAGACCUUUUGUUGGGAAAGAAAAGCAGCAGGUUAAUACCCCGCUGUUCUGACGGUACCCAAAGAAUAAGCACCGGCUAACUUCGUG
rnacentral:rRNA from 1 species